rnacentral:miRNA from 1 species
AGAUCGAAGGUUCCUGGCUU